CCCUUUACCCCCCGCUUUCCCAUCACAGCCGCGGGGCUGCAGAGCGAGCUCCCCGGGCAGUAACAUGAGAUGACGGACCCUCUUCUUUCUGCCCGCUGCCGGCAGUACUCAGCCUCCGCCUGCAGGAGGCGCAGGCCCCCAAGGGAGCAGGCGCUUGUGCCAGAGCGACGUUCUGGCCGCCACCUCUAUGGUCCCUGCUGUGCGAGGGCCGGGCUGGUGCGCGCGCGACCGCCAGGGGCCGCUCUGGCCGCCGCCGUCUCCGCUGCUCUCGGCUCCCCCGAGCUGCGCUGCCUGGAGCCCGGGUGUCCGCCAUAUUGGUGUCCGCGCUGCCUGCCUGUGCAGCUGCUGCGCCGUGUCCCUCCAUCUCGUCCCGGCCAGGCCGGGCCCGCGAAGCCGGCGCCGCAGGGCGGGAAGCGGGGCGAGGAGGCCGAGCGGGGCAGGGAGGAGACGGAAACGAGCGGGCCACGGGUCCCGCGCCCCCUGCGCCACCCGCCAUGGCGAGGAGGCCCGGCGGACCCUGAGAGAGGCCAGCCCCCUCCCCGGCCCAGCCCAGCCGCCAUCAGCGGAGACGAGCCGCCGGGCCCCCGCCUCUGCCUCAACAUGGAGGCCGUGAAAGCCUUUAACAGCGAGUUGUACUCGCUAAAUGAAUACAAACCACCUAUUUCUAAGGCUAAAAUGACACAGAUCACCAAGGCAGCAAUCAAGGCUAUAAAGUUCUACAAACAUGUUGUACAGAGCGUUGAGAAAUUCAUUCAAAAGUGCAAACCGGAAUACAAGGUGCCUGGUCUCUAUGUCAUUGACUCUAUUGUGCGACAGUCCCGGCAUCAGUUUGGGCAAGAGAAGGAUGUGUUUGCUCCUAGAUUCAGCAAUAAUAUCAUCAGCACUUUCCAGAAUUUAUACCGUUGUCCUGGGGAUGACAAGAGUAAAAUUGUUAGAGUGCUAAAUUUGUGGCAGAAGAAUAAUGUGUUCAAGAGUGAAAUUAUUCAGCCUCUCCUGGAUAUGGCAGCAGGAAUUCCUCCUCCAGUUGUGACUCCAGUCUUGCCCAGUACAACAGCUGCUAUGAGCAACAAUACACCAGGAACUCCUGUGACCCCUGUUACUCCAGCCAAUGUGGUACAAAGUUUACCUGAUCCUUGGGUGUCUCAAAUUGCUAAUACAGAUACACUUGCUGCUGUUGCACAAAUCUUACAGAGUCCCCAAGGCCAACAGCUUCAGCAGUUAAUACAGACACUGCAAAUACAACAACAGAAGCCACAGCCUUCACUACUUCAGGCACUGGAUGCUGGCCUUGUCGUUCAGUUACAGGCUCUCACAGCACAACUUACAGCUGCAGCUGCUGCUGCCAACACACUCAAUCCACUGGAACAGAAUGUCUCUUUUAACAAGAAGCUGAUGGACAGGUUUGAUUUUGGGGAAGAGCCUGACCUCAGUGAAGAGCCUAAAAAGGAAACUCCCACUUCCCAACUGCCUCUAGUAUCAGAGUCUGUGAACAACUCACUUUUUCAUCAGCUAGCUGAACAACUGCAACAACAAAAUUUAGAACAUCUCCGACAGCAGCUCCUGGAGCAACAGCAGCCUCAAAAGGCAAGCCCUGAGGAAAAUCAAGAGGGAAAUUUUGGAUCAGAGCACUCUGCAUCACCAUCACAAGGGAGUAGCCAACAGCAGUUUUUAGAAGUGGAAACAAACCUAGAUGAUUCAAUGGAUAUUCAACAGCAGGACAUGGAUAUAGAUGAAGGACAAGAUGUAGUUGAGGAAGAGAUCUUUGAACAAGAAGAAAAGAAAUCAGCUGUUCGUUCAAGAUCAAGAACACACUCAAGAUCUCGUUCAAGGUCACCAAGAAAACGGAGGUCUAGGUCACGGUCUGGUUCCCGAAAACGUAAACACAGAAAACGUUCACGCUCAAGAUCAAGAGAAAGGAAGCGAAAGUCAUCUCGGUCAUACUCCAGUGAAAGAAGAGCUAGGGAAAGGGAAAAAGAACGCCAGAAAAAGGGAUUGCCUCCUAUCCGGUCUAAAACACUAAGUGUGUGCAGUACUACUCUUUGGGUUGGUCAAGUAGACAAGAAGGCCACACAGCAAGAUUUAACUAAUUUGUUCGAAGAAUUUGGACAAAUAGAAUCUAUUAACAUGAUUCCUCCAAGAGGUUGUGCAUAUGUCUGCAUGGUUCACAGACAAGAUGCAUAUCGUGCUCUUCAGAAACUUAGUUCUGGAUCCUACAAGAUUGGAUCUAAAAUUAUUAAGAUUGCUUGGGCUUUAAAUAAAGGUGUGAAAACAGAGUACAAGCAAUUUUGGGAUGUGGAUCUUGGAGUUUCGUAUAUACCUUGGGAAAAAGUAAAAUUGGAUGAUUUGGAUGGCUUUGCUGAAGGAGGCAUGAUCGACCAGGAGACUGUAAAUACAGAAUGGGAAACUGUGAGGAGCUCAGAGGCUGUUAAAGAAAAUAUCCAAACUACUCAGAGUACAACUGUCGAUAAGAAUACAGCUGUUACAACACAGACAGAAGCUUAUACUCAAUCCGUAACUAUGCUACAGAUUCCGGUAGCUCCAGCUGUGCCUGCUGUUAGUUUAGUUCCACCAUCAUUUCCUGUCACAAUGUCUGUCCCGCCUCCUGGGUACAGUUCAAUUCCACCACCUCCCUUCUUGCGGGCAAGUUUCAACCCUUCACAACCACCUCCUGGUUUUAUGCCUCCCCCGGUUCCACCUGUCCCACCGCCUGUUGUUCCACCGCCUGUUGUGCCACAAGGAGUCCCAACAUCUCUAGUGCAGCCUCCUCUAUCCAUUACUCAAGAGACAAUGAAAGACGUUCCUUUUGGUAGCCUUGUUUUACCAGUUGGCACCGUUUCUAGCAGUCUAGCCACUCCAACAUUAUCAGCAGGAAGUGUUUUUAACCCUCUUCCAAGCAACAAACCAGAGUCAGAAGAAAAAGGAUCACAUCUUGCAGACGUUCAGAUUUCUUCCAGUGAAAACAACAGAUCUAUUCAAAAUGAUGUCUCAAGCAGCUCCGGACUUGCGGGUGGAGUGCAGCCACCUGGUGUCUCAAGCAGCUCCGGACGUGCAGUAGGAGUGCAGCCACCUGGUGUCUCAAGCAGCUCUGGACGUGUGGGAGGAGUGCAGCCACCCGGUGUCUCAAGCAGUUCCACACUUGCGGGAGGAGUGCAGCCACCCGGUGUCUCAAGCAGCUCCACACUUGCGGGAGGAGUGCACCCACCCGGUGUCUCAAGCAGCUCCGCACUUGUAGGAGGAGUGCAGCCACCUGGUGUCUCAAGCAGCUCUGGACUUUUGGUGGGAGUGCCGCCACCGAAUGUCUCAAGCAGCUGCGGACUUUUGGCGGGAGUGCCGCCACCGAAUGUCUCAAGCAGCUCUGGACUUAUGGCGGGAGUGCCGCCACCGAAUGUCUCAAGCAGCUCUGGACUUAUGGCGGGAGUGCCGCCACCAAACGUCUCAAGCAGCUCUGGACUUAUGGCGGGAGUGCCGCCACCAAAUGUCUCAAGUAGCUCUGGACUUUUGGCGGGAGUGCCACCACCAAAUGUCUCAAGCAGCUCUGGGCUUCUAAUAGUGCCACCACCCAAUGUCUCAAGUAGUUCUGGACUUCUGGGGAUGCAGCAUCCACCAGGGAUUCAAAACAUACCCCAUUUAAAUAUUAGUAGUCAAAGGAUGCCUGGAAUGCCUCUCUUAGAUCUCCGUCCAGGACUAAUACCCCAGUCACCUGGACCAAGAUUUCCAUUAAUACAGCCUGGAAUGCCACCACAGCGUAAUAUCCCUCCUCCAACAAUCCUUGACCCAUCCCUUCAUCCACCACCUAGAGGUCCUUUUCCUCCUCCAGGAGAUCUUUUUAACCAAACAGAGAGACAUUUUGGAACACCUGGAAGACAAAAUGUUGAUAGCAUUUCUAAUCCAGAAAAAAGGUUACCACUUGGCGGUGAUGGCAUUCAACAGGAAGGAGACCGAGACUAUCGCUUUCCGCCAGUGGAAAACAGAGAGACUCUUAAUAGGCCAUCCCCAGUCGAUGUCAGGGAUUCUAUUGGACGGCCACCAGUAGAUCCAAGAGAGGGUCUUGGAAGACCUCCAAUAGAUGGGAGAGAACAUUUUGCAAGACCGCAUAUAGAUAUGAGAGAGAAUUUUGGAAGACCAGGUGUGGAUAAUAUUGGUCGAAGAGAGCAUUUUGGUUUCAAUUCAGAAAAGCACUGGGGACAGAGAGGAGAUUAUGAUGAAAGAGAACACACUGUUUUCCCUAUCUACGGUGGUCCUAAAAGCUUCCAUGAAGAUAGAGAGAGAUUUCGGCAUGUAAAUUACAGAUUUGAUGCUAGAAGUGGUCCCAACUGGAAUAGGGGAUUUGAACAAGAUGCUCACAGAGAUUUUGAUGACCGUAGAAGACCCUGGGAAAGACAGAGGGAUAGGGAUGACAGAGAUUUUAAUUUUUGCAGAGAAAUAAAUGGAAACAGAUUUGGAAGAGACAGAAUGCAGAACAACUGGAUCCCUCCUCCACAUCCAAGGGUUUUUGAAUAUUUUGAAGGGGCCACUUCACAGCGCAAAGCUGAUAAUAUACCCCAGGUAAAUGGUGAAAAUACAGAGACAGAAAGUCAACCACCAAAUGUGCAAGUGCAGAAUGAUCCAGAACUUUAUGAAAAACUAGCAUCUUCAAGUGAGAUAAACAAAGAGAAGAGUGACACAGAAGCUGAUAUAGAAAGUGAACCAGUGGUAGAAAGCACAGAAACUGAGGGGACAUAAUCAUCACUCAGUAGACACCGUCCUAACAGAUCUAAAGUCACUUAAUGUAGAAGAAAAGGAACCAACACCAUUCUUGCAUGAGUGCUCCUGCUGUGGCCAUGUCUAAAUUAUGCGAGUGUGCCCCUCAAAACAGCUUACAAUGCAAGAUGAUGGAGGAAGUUCUGGCAGCUUACCAUGUCCCGGGCCCUGCAGAGUUAAAUGAGAAGUGCUUCAAUGUUCUAAUGUGCAUCACAUCGGAUCUUGUUUCUGAAGUGUUAGAAGGAACCCAGCAUUACAUGUUGUGCACCAGCACACUGUUUAUGAUAGAACCCAGGGAUGGCAAAUUUGUAUACCAGUAUUACCUGUCUGGAGCAGGUUUAAUUUUAUAAAUUAAAACCAUAAACUCUAUGAGUUUCUAGACGUUAUUUAUGCUUUUGAGGAUGAACUCCUCAGAUGAAGAGACAGGCUCUUCUGCAGGACCAGAAGAUCACAUUGGACUGUAAAUUGUAACUAACUCCGUUUGUAGAAUAGGAAUCGAAGGACAGGUUACAAGAAGAUCCUUCAGGGUAUGAGACUUGAUUUGCUUUGAUCUGCAAAUUUAAAGACAAGUUUUUUUUAGAAGUAACCACUUUUACUUAACACUACAUGUGCAGUCUUUGUGCAGCUCUUGACUGGUGACUAUACUCCAGAUAUGUUGGAUUCCUGAACAUACUUAGGUUUGUGAUGAACUUUUAAAUUGUCAAAGUUCCAUGAAAAUUAGAAUGGGAAAGUUCCAGGGCCAAUAUUUGACUAGACCUGUCCUGUCAUUUCCUUUUAGUGUCCAAAGGGGUUGGAAAAAGGGCAAGAAGUGGUAAUGAAACACAAAAUUACAUUGUACUCAUUUUUGAUGUAUGCACUUACCAGAAAAGUGCUUUCUGUCUCAUAAUCAAAGGGAAGGGGUACACUUGCCCUCUCUAAGCCCUCAAAUGAAAGGUCUGCAUUUAGGGUCAGACAUGUUGAUUUAGUCUGCUAACUAGCUAAAGAAAAGAAGAAACAUGUAUAUGCCCCACUGUAUGUGAAAAGGACAUUUUGUCAUUCCUCUAUUUAUUUUUGCUCUAUCAAAAUUAAAGUGCCAGUUAUUUGGAAUGCUGUAUUCUGUGGUCUCUUGAAAUUUGAUUAGUGAGAACCGUUUGGCAAGAUCAUUCUCAUUAUGGUGUAACUGCAUGGUGACCACAGCUAUGGACCUGUAUAAUAAAGAUCUAAAUUCAAA